AUCCACCUGACAAGUCCCAAAUAGGACGAAACGCGCGUCAAACUGGAU
rnacentral:hammerhead_ribozyme from 1 species